GAAAUGCGAUAAGUAAUGUGAAUUGCAGAAUUCAGUGAAUCAUCGAAUCUUUGAACGCACCUUGCGCUCCUUGGUAUUCCUUGGAGCAUGCCUGUUUGAGUAUCAUGAAAUCUUCAAAGUAAAUCUUUUGUUAACUCAAUUGGUUUCUACUUUGGUAUUGGAGGUCUUUGCAGCUUCACACCUGCUCCUCUUUGUUCAUUAGCUGGAUCUCAGUGUUAUGCUUGGUUCCACUCGGCGUGAUAAGUUAUCUAUCGCUGAGGACACUGUAAAAGGUGGCCAAGGUAAAUGCAGAUGAACCGCUUCUAAUAGUCCAUUGACUUGGACAAUACUUUUAUGAUCUGAUCUCAAACCAGGUAGGACUACCCGCUGAACUUAAGC
rnacentral:misc_RNA from 1 species